rnacentral:rRNA from 1 species
CAGUCGCCGCGGGAAUACGAAGGGUGCAAGCGUUAAUCGGAAUUACUGGGCGUAAAGCGUGCGUAGGCGGUGAGUUAAGUCUGCUGUGAAAUCCCCGGGCCCAACCUGGGAACGGCAGUGGAUACUGGCUCGCUAGAGUGUGUCAGAGGAUGGUGGAAUUCCCGGUGUAGCGGUGAAAUGCGUAGAGAUCGGGAGGAACAUCAGUGGCGAAGGCGGCCAUCUGGGACAACACUGACGCUGAGGCACGAAAGCGUGGGGAGCAAACAGGAUUAGAUACCCCCGUAGUCCCUGUCUCUUAUAC